CCUGCCCUGACCCUGCAGCUCUGGCAGAGGAGCCCAGUCCUGGAUUCCCAGGUCCUCCCAUUCAAUGAUCAGCACUGAGCAAAGAUCACUUACCAUGGAAUUGUGGCUCCUUUGGCUUUUCCUUGCUGCUAUUUUAAGUGGUGGCCAGUGUGAGGUGCAGCUGGUGGAGUCUGGAGGAGGCUUGGUGCAGCCUGGAAAGUCCCUGAAAAUCUCCUGUGCUGCCUCUGGAUUUACCUUCAGUGAUUACUACAUGAGCUGGAUCCGCCAGGCUCCAGGGAAAGGCUUGGAAUGGGUCGCAGAUAUUAGUGGUGAUAGUAGUAACAUCGAAUAUGCUGAUGCCGUGAAAGGCCGAUUCACCAUCUCCAGAGACAAUGCCAAGAACAACGUGUACCUGGAAAUGAGCAGUCUGAGGCUUGAGGACACAGCCAUGUAUUACUGCACUGUAUUCACAGUGAUGCAAAGUUACUGUGAACUCAGACACAAAACCUCCAUGCAGGGAGCUUAUGACCAGCAGGGGGCGCAGAGAGCACACUGGGUCAGGUAAGACCUGUCCAGCAAUACAUAAAAGGCUGGACUGAUG